UACGUAGGGGGCUAGCGUUGUCCGGAUUUAUUGGGCGUAAAGAGCGUGUAGGCGGCCAGGUAGGUCCGCUGUGAAAUCUCGAGGCUCAACUUCGAGCUGUCGGUGGAAACUGUCUGGCUAGAGUCCGGAAGAGGAGAAUGGAAUUCCUGGUGUAGCGGUGAAAUGCGCAGAUAUCAGGAAGAACACCCGUGGCGAAGGCGGUUCUCUGGGACGGUACUGACGCUGAGACGCGAAAGCGUGGGGAGCGAACAGG
rnacentral:rRNA from 1 species